rnacentral:rRNA from 1 species
UACGUAGGGGCCUAGCGUUGUCCGGAAUUAUUGGGCGUAAAGAGCUCGUAGGCGGUUCGGCAAGUCGGAUGUGAAAUCUCCACGCUUAACGUGGAGGGGCCAUUCGAAACUGCUGUGACUCGAGUCCGGUAGGGGAGUGUGGAAUUCCCGGUGUAGCGGUGAAAUGCGCAGAUAUCGGGAGGAACACCAGUAGCGAAGGCGGCUUUCUGGCCCAAUACUGACACUCAUGUGCGACCGCGUGGGGAGCAAACAGG